rnacentral:rRNA from 1 species
AUUGAACGCUGGCGGCAGGCCUAACACAUGCAAGUCGAGCGGAUGACGGGAGCUUGCUCCUUGAUUCAGCGGCGGACGGGUGAGUAAUGCCUGGGAAUCUGCCUGGUAGUGGGGGACAACGUUUCGAAAGGAACGCUAAUACCGCAUACGUCCUACGGGAGAAAGCAGGGGACCUUCGGGCCUUGCGCUAUCAGAUGAGCCUAGGUCGGAUUAGCUAGUUGGUGGGGUAAUGGCUCACCAAGGCGACGAUCCGUAACUGGUCUGAGAGGAUGAUCAGUCACACUGGAACUGAGACACGGUCCAGACUCCUACGUGAGGCAGCAGUGGGGAAUAUUGGACAAUGGGCGAAAGCCUGAUCCAGCCAUGCCGCGUGUGUGAAGAAGGUCUUCGGAUUGUAAAGCACUUUAAGUUGGGAGGAAGGGCAGUAAGCUAAUACCUUGCUGUUUUGACGUUACCGACAGAAUAAGCACCGGCUAACUCUGUGCCAGCCGCCGCGGUAACAC